CAGGCCUAACACAUGCAAGUCGAACGCAGUAGCAAUACUGAGUGGCAAACGGGUGAGUAUAAUGUGGGAAUCUGCCUUUUGGUUCGGAAUAACACGGGGAAACUUGUGCUAAUACCGGAUAAGCCCUUACGGGGAAAGUUUUAAUGCCGAAAGAUGAGCCCGCACUUGAUUAGCUAGUUGGUAAGGUAAAAGCUUACCAAGGCAACGAUCAAUAGCUGUUCUUAGAGGAAGACCAGCCACAUUGGGACUGAGACACGGCCCAGACUCCUACGGGAGGCAGCAGUGGGGAAUCUUGCACAAUGGGGGAAACCCUGAUGCAGCGAUGCCGCGUGAGUGAAGAAGGCCCUUGGGUUGUAAAACUCUUUCGUCGGGGAAGAAAAUGACUGUACCCGAAUAAGAAGGUCCGGCUAACUUCGUGCCAGCAGCCGCGGUAAUACGAAGGGACCUAGCGUAGUUCGGAAUUACUGGGCUUAAAGAGCUCGUAGGUGGUUAAAAAAGUUGAUGGUGAAAUCCCAAGGCUCAACCUUGGAACUGCCAUCAAAACUUUUUAGCUAGAGUGUGAUAGAGGUAAGUGGAAUUUCUAGUGUAGAGGUGAAAUUCGUAGAUAUUAGAAAGAACACCAAAAGCGAAGGCAACUUACUGGGUCACU
rnacentral:rRNA from 1 species